GGCCAUGAGUAAAAUCAACACUCCAGUGACAGGCGGCUGUUAAACAGACAGUCCAGCAGGGGGCUUAAUUGCUGGGCCGGCCUAUAAAAGGUGCCGGCUGACGUCAUCCGGGAGCUGGCUCGCUCGUUCGCUCGCUCACUCGCUCACUCGAUCUUGGUUGGGUUUGCCGCUGCCAUGCCACGCUACGCCGCUCCGCUGCUUCGCGCAAGCCACGCGUUCCAGCAGUUUUGUCUCCGUCGCUCCUGCCUGCUCUCGGAGUGAGAG